UUCUUUGGUUUAGAUGACGGCAAGGGCUAAGAAGGGAAUGCAGUGAGAGUCUGCAACACUACCCGGUGCUGUAAAUCCUUUUUCUGUUGCAACCGAGAGAGUCACUGGAACACGUGCCACAGUCAAUGUCGGCGAAAGCACGUUUUUCGGGAAGACCGAGUUGCAAAGGGAUAAAGUCAGAAGACCUGCCUCUUGUGAG
rnacentral:ncRNA from 1 species